GGAAGGUGUACGGUUCAGUAGAAGAUUAUCUGCUUUACAAGCAGAAGGUCCCAGGUUCAUUCUCUGCCAUCUCCU